rnacentral:rRNA from 1 species
GACGAACGCUGGCGGCGUGCUUAACACAUGCCAGUCGAACGGAAAGGCCCUGCUUGCAGGGUACUCGAGUGGCGAACGGGUGAGUAACACGUGGGUGAUCUGCCCUGCACUUCGGGAUAAGCCUGGGAAACUGGGUCUAAUACCGGAUAGGAGCCAUUUUUAGUGUGAUGGUUGGAAAGUUUUUUCGGUGUAGGAUGAGCUCGCGGCCUAUCAGCUUGUUGGUGGGGUAAUGGCCUACCAAGGCGGCGACGGGUAGCCGGCCUGAGAGGGUGGACGGCCACAUUGGGACUGAGAUACGGCCCAGGCUCCUACGGGAGGCAGCAGUGGGGAAUAUUGCACAAUGGGCGCAAGCCUGAUGCAGCGACGCCGCGUGGGGGAUGACGGCCUUCGGGUUGUAAACUCCUUUCGCUAGGGACGAAGCUUUUUGUGACGGUACCUAGAUAAGAAGCACCGGCUAACUACGUG